AACUUUUGGCAAUGGAUCACUAGGUUCUGGCAUCGAUGAAGAACGCAGCGAAAUGCGAUAAGUAAUGUGAAUUGCAGAAUUUAGUGAAUCAUCGAAUCUUUGAACGCACAUUGCGCCCCUUGGUAUUCCGAGGGGCAUGCCUGUCCGAGCGUCAUUUCAACCCUCAAGCAUAGCUUGGUCUUGGGCUUCGCUGCUAACCCAGCGGGUCUUAAAAUCAGUGGCGGUGCCGUCGGGCCCUGAGCGUAGUACAUCUCCUCGCUAUAGGGCCCCGGCGGAUGCUGGCCAUCAACCCCCAAUUUUCUAUGGUUGACCUCGGAUCAGGUAGGGAUACCCGCUGAACUUAAGCAUAUCAAUAAGCGGAGGCU
rnacentral:misc_RNA from 1 species